rnacentral:rRNA from 1 species
AGUUUGAUCCUGGCUCAGAUUGAACGCUGGCGGCAGGCCUAACACAUGCAAGUCGAACGGUAACAGAGAGUAGCUUGCUACUUUGCUGACGAGUGGCGGACGGGUGAGUAAUGUCUGGGGAUCUGCCUGAUGGAGGGGGAUAACUACUGGAAACGGUAGCUAAUACCGCAUAAUGUCGCAAGACCAAAGCGGGGGACUUUCGGGCCUCGCACCAUCAGAUGAACCCAGAUGGGAUUAGCUAGUAGGUAGGGUAAUGGCUUACCUAGGCGACGAUCCCUAGCUGGUCUGAGAGGAUGACCAGCCACACUGGAACUGAGACACGGUCCAGACUCCUACGGGAGGCAGCAGUGGGGAAUAUUGCACAAUGGGCGCAAGCCUGAUGCAGCCAUGCCGCGUGUAUGAAGAAGGCCUUCGGGUUGUAAAGUACUUUCAGUCAGGAGGAAGGGUGUGAAAUUAAUACUUUCAUGCAUUGACGUUACUGACAGAAGAAGCACCGGCUAACUCCGUGCCAGCAGCCGCGGUAA